rnacentral:lncRNA from 1 species
GUGUGUGUAUUUGUUCUGAAGAUCUGUUGUAGAUUAUGAAUUGAAGUAAAAUGGAAUCCUAGGAAAAAAGAAUAACAAAAAUACCGAACUCCGAGCCGAAUUUAUAAAACAGCAGACCAUAAAAACUGAAAACUGAAAUCUAAGGGAGCUACCAUUUGAUUUUUAUGGGGGGGCUAGGAUGAAAAAUUUUGUCCUGCAUUUUUUUUAGUUGUUAUCUCUGUCCUGCCUUUUUAUUUUUCACUCUAUUCGGUCCUGCCUUUUUUUUUAUUAGUUUAUCCUGACUUUUUUUACCUAAAUUGUCAUCCUGCCUUUUUUUUUGCAUAGUGUCUCAUCCUGCCUUUUUUUUUUUUACUCAAAACUCCUCUCCUGCCUAUUUUUUUCAAAUUUCAUCCUAGCCCCCCAUAAAAAUCAAAUGGUAGCUCCCUAACGCAAUCAAAUAUCGGAACAAAAGAAACAAUUUGCAUUU